rnacentral:rRNA from 1 species
CUGAGACACGGCCCAAACUCCUACGGGAGGCAGCAGUGGGGAAUAUUGCACAAUGGGGGAAACCCUGAUGCAGCGACGCCGCGUGAGUGAAGGAGUAUUUCGGUAUGUAAAGCUCUAUCAGCAGGGAAGAAAUACUGACCAUAGGGUCAGCAGACGGUACUUGACUAAGAAGCCCCGGCUAACUACGUGCCAGCAGCCGCGGUAAUACGUAGGGGGCAAGCGUUAUCCGGAUUUACUGGGUGUAAAGGGAGCGUAGACGGCAGCGCAAGUCUGAAGUGAAAUGCCAGGGCUUAACCCUGGAACUGCUUUGGAAACUGUGCAGCUAGAGUGCAGGAGAGGUAAGUGGAAUUUCUAGUGUAGCGGUGAAAUGCGUAGAUAUUAGGAGGAACACCAGUGGCGAAGGCGGCUUACUGGACUGUAACUGACGUUGAGGCUCGAAAGCGUGGGGAGCAAACAGGAUUAGAUACCCUGGUAGUCCACGCUGUAAACGAUGAUUACUAGGUGUUGG